GUACAUUUGUGGUAGACAGAUGCCCUUGAUCAAAGUUUCCAGAAAAUGUUUGCAAAUGUUCAUUGUUAGAUGGCAGUGAAUCCACCCAAACAUUCCAAUUUUUUCCUCUACAUACUUUCAUGAGACCGUAUUCUCAAUGUUAAAUAAUAUUAAAACCAAUAAAAGAAACUGACUGACAGAUGAAGUUAGUAGUGCUUGCUUGGGCUUGAAGUACAAAAUAUCAACUUUCAAUUGAAGAUUUAGCAAAUGAAAUUCACUAACAAAAAAGUCACCAAUGUAAAGAAUAUUUGUUUUUGCUUCUUUAAUAAGUAAAUAUAUCAAAAAUAUAACUCUUUUUUUACUAGAAUUACAAAUAUCACAAAAUUAUGGAUAUUUUUAGAUGUGACAUGGCACUGGAGUUAAGCUAGGUUUUUUUACAAAUUUUGACACACCAAGCUUAAAAGGUUUGCCAUCACUGGUCUGUGAACAAGAUAUUAAUUAAACAAUACAACAUGCAACAUUCCUUCAGAGUGGUUGGGUGGAAAUGCUUUAGCUUUCCAAUCAGAGGACCCAAGAUUGAAUUAGGAUCCCAUCCCCUUGGAAAAUUUAUAUAAGGAGACUGUGUCAGACUCACAAUCCCUAUUCUGCACAAUACAACAGACUUCUCUGAGUAUUGACAUAAGGUAUGAUACAUAACUACUAUAUAAUGUUUUAUAAUUAAAGUUUACAAUUAAAUCAUGCUUUCAUUUCAUUUCUUUACAUUAUUGAAUAGAUAUAUCAAAAUUCAUUGUUUUUUUUUUGUAUGUGUUUAAAUUAAAUCAUUUAAGCACUUUCUUAGCAGUAUAAAAUUAUAAUUAUUAUAAAUAACAUAGGAACAUUUUUGGUUUAUGAACUUAGACCAUCCUCAGUUACACAAAAAACAAAUAAGAUAUCUCAAUAUAUUACUGAACAAUACAGUAAUGUUCAGAUGAGAAAUUUACGAAAUAUUUAUUUUCUAAUAUCAGAAUCUAGAAACAU
rnacentral:lncRNA from 1 species